rnacentral:rRNA from 1 species
UCAAGCUACUAAGGGCAUACGGUGGAUGCCUAGGCGCCAAGAGCCGAAGAAGGACGCGGUAAGCUGCGAAAAGCCACGGGGAACUGCAAGCAAGUAUUGAUCCGUGGAUAUCCGAAUGGGGAAACCCGGCCAUCGUCAUGGAUGGUCACCCGCAAGGGAGGGAACCUGGGGAACUGAAACAUCUAAGUACCCGGAGGAAGAGAAAUCAAACGAGAUGCCCACAGUAGCGGCGAGCGAAGAGGGCAGAGCCCAAACCGAGAAGCUCCGGCUUUUCGGGGUUGAGGACCGGCAGAAUCGAAGUCAGGCCUAGUUGAAUUACCUGGAAAGGUAAGCGAGAGAGGGUAAAAGCCCCGUAGACGAAAGGCAGAGCAGAGAGGCCGAGAUCCAGAGUACCACGAAGCACGAGGAAUUUUGUGGGAAGCAGGGGGGACCACCCUCCAAGGCUAAAAACUACUUGGCGACCGAUAGCGCAUAGUACCGUGAGGGAAAGGUGAAAAGAACCCCGGGAGGGGAGUGAAAUAGUACCUGAAACCGUAUGUCUACAAGCAGUCGAAGCGAAAGCGACGGCGUGCCUAUUGAAGAAUGAACCAACGAGUUAUCUGCACUAGCGAGGUUAAGUGGAAGACACGGAGCCGCAGCGAAAGCGAGUCUUAAGAGGGCGCUAGUUAGUGUAGGUAGACCCGAAACCGCAGUGAUCUACCCAUGUCCAGGUUGAAGCGCAGGUAAAAUUGCGUGGAGGACCGAACCGGUGAGCGUUGAAAAGCUUUCGGAUGAGAUGUGGGUAGGGGUGAAAUUCCAAUCGAACGCGGAGAUAGCUGGUUCUCCCCGAAAUAGCUUUAGGGCUAGCCUGAGGUAGUAAGUAUAGGCGGUAGAGCACUGAUCGGGCUAGGGGCCGUAAAGGUUACCGAACCCUGUCAAACUCCGAAUGGAUAUACUGUAGAGCCUUGGAGUCAGACUACGAGUGAUAAGAUCCGUGGUCAAAAGGGAAACAGCCCAGACCACCAGCUAAGGUCCCCAAUGUCGUACUAAGUGGAAAAGGAUGUGGGGUUUCAUAAACAACCAGGAUGUUGGCUCAGAAGCAGCCACCAUUUAAAGAGUGCGUAAUAGCUCACUGGUCGAGAGACCCUGCGCCGAAGAUUCCCGGGGCUAAAGUACGAAACCGAAGCUGUGGCUGUAUACGUAAAGUAUACGGGGUAGGGGAGCGUUCCCAUAGGGUAGAAGUCGAACUGGAAGGUUCGGUGGACUUGUGGGAAGUGAGAAUGUUGGUAUGAGUAGCGAAAAGAAAGGUGAGAAUCCUUUCCACCGAAAGCAUAAGGAUUCCUGAGCAACGAUCGUCGUCUCAGGGUAAGUCGGGACCUAAUCCGAGGCAGAGAGCGUAGGAGAUGGACAACUGGUUGAUAUUCCAGUACCGGUAGUAAUUGUUUGAGCAAUGGAGUGACACAGAAGGGCAGGCAAGCAUGCGAAUGGAAGAGCAUGUGUAAGCGUGUAGGGUGGUGCAUAGGCAAAUCCGUGCACUGAAAGCCUGAGGCGUGAUGCGGAGUGAGCAGAGAUGCGAGCGAAGUUGUUGACCCCACACUGUCGAGAAAAGCUUCUAGUGAGAGAGCUACCGCCCGUACCGUAAACCGACACAGGUAUGCGGGGAGAGAAUCCUAAGGUGCGCGGGAGAACCCUCGUUAAGGAACUCGGCAAAAUGUACCCGUAACUUCGGGAUAAGGGUAGCCACUGUUGUGAAGUCCCAUGCGGAUGGAGCAUAGAGUGGUCGCAGAGAAGAGGCCCAAGCGACUGUUUACCAUAAACACAGGUGCCUGCUAAAGCGAAAGCUGACGUAUAGGUGCUGACACCUGCCCAGUGCCGGAAGGUUAAGGAAGGAUGUUCGGAUUAGUCCAAAGCAUUCGACUGAAGCCCCGGUGAACGGCGGCCGUAACUAUAACGGUCCUAAGGUAGCGAAAUUCCUUGUCGGGUAAGUUCCGACCCGCACGAAAGGUGUAACGAUUUGGGCACUGUCUCAACGAGGGACCCGGUGAAAUUGAAAUACCUGUGAAGAUGCAGGUUACCCGCGACUGGACAGAAAGACCCCAUGGAGCUUUACUGUAACCUGACAUUGGGUUUUGAUACAUUACGUACAGGAUAGGUGGGAGGCAUGGAAAGUUGGACGCUAGUCUGACUGGAGCCGACGUUGGGAUACCACCCUUGAUGUAUUGAAAUUCUAACCGCGAGAGUAACGAAAUCCGGGACAGUGUCAGGCGGGCAGUUUGACUGGGGCGGUCGCCUCCGAAAGAGUAACGGAG